AGAGUUUGAUCCUGGCUCAGAAUGAACGCUGGCGGCGUGCCUAACACAUGCAAGUCGAAUGUGCCGCAAGGUGCAUGGCAGACGGGUGAGUAACGCGUAGGGAAUCUACCUUUUAGUGGGGAAUAACGCUCCGAAAGGAGUGGUAAUACCGCAUGAGACCGUAGUCUGGGAUGACAACGGUGAAACCUGGGGACCGCAAGGCCUGGGGCUAAAAGAGGAUCCUGCGUCUGAUUAGCUAGUUGGCGGGGUAAUGGCCCACCAAGGCGACGAUCAGUAGCCGGCCUGAGAGGGUGAUCGGCCACACUGGAACUGAGACACGGUCCAGACUCCUACGGGAGGCAGCAGUGGGGAAUUUUGCGCAAUGGACGAAAGUCUGACGCAGCAACGCCGCGUGGGUGAUGAAGGUCUUCGGACUGUAAAACCCUGUCGUCAGGGACGAAGGUUGGGGGGUUAAUAGCCCUUUAGCUUGACGGUACCUGGAGAGGAAGCCCCGGCUAACUCUGUGCCAGCAGCCGCGGUAAUACAGAGGGUGCGAGCGUUGUUCGGAAUUACUGGGCGUAAAGGGCGCGUAGGCGGCUUUAUAAGUCAGAUGUGAAAGCCCCCGGCUUAACUGGGGAAGUGCAUCUGAAACUGUGAGGCUUGAGUAUGGGAGAGGAAAGUGGAAUUCCCGGUGUAGAGGUGAAAUUCGUAGAUAUCGGGAGGAACACCUGUGGCGAAAGCGACUUUCUGGACCAAUACUGACGCUGAGGCGCGAAAGCGUGGGGAGCAAACAGGAUUAGAUACCCUGGUAGUCC
rnacentral:rRNA from 1 species